GACGAACGCUGGCGGCGUGCUUAACACAUGCAAGUCGAACGGAAAGGCCCUGCUUUUGUGGGGUGCUCGAGUGGCGAACGGGUGAGUAACACGUGAGUAACCUGCCCUUGACUUUGGGAUAACUUCAUGCCACUUGGGCUAAUACCGGAUAGGAGCUCCUGCUGCAUGGUGGGGGUUGGACAGUUUCGGCGGUUGGGGAUGGACUCGCGGCUUAUCAGCUUGUUGGUGGGGUAGUGGCUUACCAAGGCUUUGACGGGUAGCCGGCCUGAGAGGGUGACCGGCCACAUUGGGACUGAGAUACGGCCCAGACUCCUACGGGAGGCAGCAGUGGGGAAUAGUGCACAAUGGGCGGAAGCCUGAUGCAGCAACGCCGCGUGCGGGAUGACGGCCUUCGGGUUGUAAACCGCUUUCGCCUGUGACGAAGCGUGAGUGACGGUAAUGGGUAAAGAAGCACCGGCUAACUACGUG
rnacentral:rRNA from 1 species